AUACGUAGGGUGCAAGCGUUAAUCGGAAUUACUGGGCGUAAAGCGUGCGCAGGCGGUUUUGUAAGACAGAGGUGAAAUCCCCGGGCUCAACCUGGGAACUGCCAUUGUGACUGCAAGGCUGGAGUGCGGCAGAGGGGGAUGGAAUUCCGCGUGUAGCAGUGAAAUGCGUAGAUAUGCGGAGGAACACCGAUGGCGAAGGCAAUCCCCUGGGCCUGCACUGACGCUCAUGCACGAAAGCGUGGGGGGCAAACAGGAUUAGAUACCCUGGUUGUCCACGCCCUAAACGAUGUCAACUGGUUGUUGGGGAUUUAUUUUCUCAGUAACGAAGCUAACGCGUGAAGUUUACCGCCUGGGGAGUACGGCCGCAAGGUUAAAACUCAAAUGAAUUGGCGGGG
rnacentral:rRNA from 1 species